rnacentral:rRNA from 1 species
AUUGAACGCUGGCGGCAUGCCUUACACAUGCAAGUCGAACGGCAGCACGGGUGCUUGCCCCUGGUGGCGAGUGGCGAACGGGUGAGUAAUACAUCGGAACAUGUCCUGUAGUGGGGGAUAGCCCGGCGAAAGCCGGAUUAAUACCGCAUACGAUCUACGGAUGAAAGCGGGGGACCUUCGGGCCUCGCGCUAUAGGGUUGGCCGAUGGCUGAUUAGCUAGUUGGUGGGGUAAAGGCCUACCAAGGCGACGAUCAGGAGCUGGUCUGAGAGGAAGACCAGCCACACUGGGACUGAGACACGGCCCAGACUCCUACGGGAGGCAGCAGUGGGGAAUUUUGGACAAUGGGCGAAAGCCUGAUCCAGCAAUGCCGCGUGUGUGAAGAAGGCCUUCGGGUUGUAAAGCACUUUUGUCCGGAAAGAAAUACUUGGCCCUAAUACGGUCGGGGGAUGACGGUACCGGAAGAAUAAGCACCGGCUAACUACGUG